rnacentral:lncRNA from 10 species
GUCACAUGUCCAUCUUUCAGCCAAUCACCACAGCCAGAGCUGAGCUAUGUUGGUGUCCGGAUUGACCUGAGUCGCCUGCUUAUUCCUGGAGCCCAUGGGUGGCGGUCUGCCUCACCAGGACCACAGACACCAAGGGGGAGAAGGAAACCCCACCCAGGAAACCUAGAGCUGUUUCCAGAAGGAGGAGGGGUUGCUAGGUAGACUGAGCUACAAACAUCUACAACAGUCACACAGGGAACUUAGGGGAAGGCCACCCCAGAAGCCCACAGUUUCCUAAGGUGCAUCUCACUGUGCACGCAACUACCCCAGCUCUUUCUGUUGCCUAGGAGCUCACGUCUAAGAAAUCACAAAAUGUAAACACGGACUAAAGGAGAAGUCAUCAGAGGAGAAGAGUAUGCGAAGGGAAGAGGUUCAGAAGGGCGGGAAAACAUCCAACUCUUGGACUUCGUUACCAUAUUCACCUUGUCGAAAAGUUUCUAAACCUGAUGAAUGACAUUCCAGAGGACUGAAAUAAUUGGCACAUGUGACCGAGGAAAUGCAGGCAGUAAUCUUCAAGAAAUUGUGGAGAGUGGGAACAACUGGAAGAUUGGAGUUGGGCAAAUAUAAAAGGGAGAGACACAACUGGCUCCAGCCCUUUUCCUGCCUCUUCCUGCUUUGAAUACUCACAUGAUACCUGGAGCUGCAGCAGCCAUCUUGUUUACCAAGAAGAAAAGCCAAGAUGAUCACAGAAUAGCCAGCACUGGUAUUGUUCCGCCAGCGACAGCAGAUACUUACCUCCAGAUUUUUGGGGAAAAAAAAUGAGCUGGAGUGACUCUCUUGGUCCCUAAGGUGGAAGCCAUGUGUUGAGGACACUGAGCAACAAGAUAGGAGGAGCCUGGGGCCCAGCCAGAGAACAGGAAGCCACCCAAAUAGCUCUCAACCCCUUAUAGAUGGACUACUAAAUGGGAAAUAAAGUAGACUGUUCUCUCUUGAUCUUUGUACAGAAUCUAUGUGCUAACUAAUAUAGUGCUCACUGGGAGGCUGAGACAGGAGGAUAGCUUGAGCCCAGCUUGAGCCCAGGAGUUCGACACCAGCCUGGGCAACAUAGCAAGACCUCGUCUCUACUUAAAAAAAAAAAAAAAUUAGCGGGGCAUGGUGGCACGUGCCUAUAGUCCCAGCUACUCGGGAGGCUGAGGCAGGAGGAUGGCUUGAGCUCAAGAGCCAGAGGUUGUAGUGAGCUAAUAUCACACCACUGUAUUCCAAUCUAGGUGACAGAGACCCUGUCUCAACAAAAUAAAACAAAAAAACCAUAGUGCUCAAUAGGUUGAUAUUAUCAUGACUUUCUCCUCAGUUGUCAUUAUGAUGAUGAUUAUUUUAUUGACCUAAAGCAUUAUGUACAGUUCAGCAAAGUCUUGUGGUGCCUUAACAAACAAUGGAGGCAGUAACCCUUAGAGUUCUUGAGUUGCAGGUGUAGGAAACCACUGCUGACUCAA